CAAAUACUUAGCCUAAAAAAAAGAUAAAUAAACAGGAAAUACCAGCCACUCUCAUUGCUGGGUUGGUGGUUGGUUGAAUUCCCCAUUCCAAUGUCACAUGAUAUCAUCCCACCAUGUUACAUGAUUGUGAUAGGUGAACUUAGGUCCUGGCACCAAGUCCACCUCUGUCCAACAGGUAUGAGAAUGUCACCUGCUCUGGAAGAGCAAGCAAUACCAAGCCACUGAAUAGCAGUGUGGUGAUUGCAGUUGCCUAAACUUUCUAAGGAAGUGGGACAAAAAGAUUUGGCCAAAGAUGAAAAUAUUUUCAAGAAUAGAAUAUCUUUCUUUUUGUUUUCAGUACUGGGGAUGAAACCCAGGCCUCACACAUGCUAGGCAAACAUUCUACCACUGAGCUGUACCCCUAGUCCAAGAAUAGGAUGUCUUUCUUCAUGCUUAUGCCCCAAAGAAGAGAUGAAGCUCAUCAGGCAGCCCCAGGAACAGGAAAUGGAAGGGGCAUUCUUAACGAGGCAAAGCUCAUUUCCCAGAGGGGAGGAAGUAGUCUGGACUGGAUCCUUCUGCAAGAGUGAAAAGUUUCUAGCUGCACAUAAUCCUUCCGUCCACCCACCAGAAGAUGGGAAGACAACAGCCCUGAGUCAAAACGAUUUUCCACCUCCCUGGCCAUGAAUCAGCUCCUGGUAGACGACACCAUUUUGAGACUGACUUUGGCAUUAUCUCACGAUAUUUACUUCUGCACGCCUUCCUGCUUAGGGAACAGCUCCUUCAAGCAGCCUUGAGCUUAGCAUUCAGGGAAGGGGGCAAAGGUGUUCUGAGCCAAUGAUCGAUCCUCUCAGGAAAAUGACGUGAAGGGGCCUGCUCUACUGCCACUGUCAACCCUGGAUUCAGGGCUUGCUCUUUGGUAAGGGGUUUUGCAUGCAUCUGGUUUCCUGGAGGCAGCCCUUAGAAACACAUAGAUUAUUACUGGUGACAGUGGCACAUUACAUGUCACAUUGAUAUCGUAGUCUGCUCCAGUGCAGGGUGAGCUGGACCCUUAUCUGAGGCUUCUAGGCUAAGUGCAAUGGGAUAUUUCAAGAAAGGAGGAAGAAGGAAUAGACACAGAAUUGAAAGUUAGGUAAAAAUAGGUGGAGGCUGAAGUUGUCCCCAGGUGCUCCCGGAGAAUAAGGGUUAAUAAAACAUUUAAAGCCGGACAUGAUAGCUCACAACUAGUCCCAGCACUCAGGAAGUUGAGGCAGGAGAAUCAGGAGUUCCAUACCAGCCUGGGCAACAUAGCAAGAUCC
rnacentral:lncRNA from 1 species